GUGGGGAAUCUUCCGCAAUGGACGAAAGUCUGACGGAGCAACGCCGCGUGAGUGAUGAAGGCCUUCGGGUUGUAAAGCUCUGUUAAUCGGGACGAAAGAGCGCUGUGCGAAUAGUGCAGCGAAGUGACGGUACCGGAAUAGAAAGCCAUGGCUAACUACGUGCCAGCAGCCGCGGUAAUACGUAGGUGGCAAGCGUUGUCCGGAAUUAUUGGGCGUAAAGCGCGCGCAGGCGGAUCUGUAAGUCUGUCUUAAAAGUUCGGGGCUCAACCCCGUGAGGGGAUAGAAACUGCAGAUCUUGAGUAUCGGAGAGGAAAGUGGAAUUCCUAGUGUAGCGGUGAAAUGCGUAGAUAUUAGGAAGAACACCAGUGGCGAAGGCGACUUUCUGGACGAAAACUGACGCUGAGGCGCGAAAGCCAGGGGAGCGAACGGGAUUAGAAACCCUAGUAGUCC
rnacentral:rRNA from 1 species